ensembl:snoRNA
GCAUGGUAAUGGGUUCAUGGGGUCACUUCUCUGUGGGCCUCAUAGAGUGCCCAUGCCAGUGUAAACUUCAGCCUUGAACCAUUGCCCUGCCUCCUUGCCCAUAGGCUGUGAGUACUAAAGGUGAUUGCAAAAAA